rnacentral:rRNA from 1 species
UAACGCGUAUGCAAUCUGCCUCAUACUGGGGGAUAGCCUUUGGAAACGAAGAUUAAUACCCCAUAGUAUUGUGAAUCUGCAUGGGUUUACAAUUAAAGGUUACGGUAUGAGAUGAGCAUGCGUCCUAUUAGCUAGAUGGUGUGGUAACGGCACACCAUGGCGACGAUAGGUAGGGGCCCUGAGAGGGGGGUCCCCCACACUGGUACUGAGACACGGACCAGACUCCUACGGGAGGCAGCAGUGAGGAAUAUUGGACAAUGGGCGGAAGCCUGAUCCAGCCAUGCCGCGUGCAGGAAGACUGCCCUAUGGGUUGUAAACUGCUUUUGUACGGGAAGAAAUACCUCUACGUGUAGAGAUUUGACGGUACCGUAAGAAUAAGCAUCGGCUAACUCCGUGCCAGCAGCCGCGGUAAUACGGAGGAUGCAAGCGUUAUCCGGAAUCAUUGGGUUUAAAGGGUCCGUAGGUGGAUUUGUAAGUCAGAGGUGAAAUCCUGCAGCUUAACUGUAGAACUGCCUUUGAUACUGCUAAUCUUGAGUCAUUAUGAAGUAGUUAGAAUAUGUAGUGUAGCGGUGA